ACCUGCGGAAGGAUCAUC
rnacentral:rRNA from 1 species